rnacentral:rRNA from 1 species
UGGGGAAUAUUGGACAAUGGGCGAAAGCCUGAUCCAGCCAUGCCGCGUGUGUGAAGAAGGUCUUCGGAUUGUAAAGCACUUUAAGUUGGGAGGAAGGGCAGUAAGCGAAUACCUUGCUGUUUUGACGUUACCGACAGAAUAAGCACCGGCUAACUCUGUGCCAGCAGCCGCGGUAAUACAGAGGGUGCAAGCGUUAAUCGGAAUUACUGGGCGUAAAGCGCGCGUAGGUGGAUCGUUAAGUUGAAUGUGAAAGCCCCGGGCUCAACCUGGGAGCUGCAUCCAAAGCGGGCGAGCUAGAGUAGGGCAGAGGGUGAUGGAAUUACCUGUGUAGCGGUGAAAUGCGUAGAUAUAGGAAGGAACACCAGUGGCGAAGGCGACCACCUGGGCUAAUACUCACACUGAGGUGCGAAAGCGUGGGGAGCAAACAGG